GGGUCAGUAGGUUGGUCGUGCCACCGGUACGUACUGGUCUCACUGAUUCCUUCUUCCUGAAGAACCGUAAUGCCAUUAAUUUGGUGUUGCGGGGAAACAGGACUGUUACUUUGAAAAAAUUAGAGUGUUUAAAGCAAGCUGACGCUUGAAUACAUUAGCAUGGAAUAAUGAAAUAGGACGAUCGAUCCUGUUUUGUUGGUUUCUAGGAUUGACGUA
rnacentral:rRNA from 1 species